GUCUCAUGGAGAAACUCUUGACAAUAAACGGUCUAAAUUCAGAUCAGAAGAUGGCACAGAAUUCGCCUUUUUAGUAGCUCCCCCAAACACUGUCCAGAUCUUAUGGCCUAUAUGUUGUCCCUUGACCAGUAGUUCCUCUCAAGUGUUUGAAUGUAAUGGUUGAUUUUCCUGUCAUCUGGUUUCAGUGUAACAAACUUUUUACAGACAGGCAGCGCUGGUGAAAAAGAAGCAAUACUCUACCAGCCCUGAGGACCAGGUCCGCUGCUGUGGAGUGUGGUAAAAGCAAAAAGGAGCUGCAGAGGGAGAGCUUCAGUUAUGAACUACAAGGUUCCUUUUCGAUAUGCCAAGCAAGUAUUUUCACAA